rnacentral:siRNA from 1 species
CAUGCUUUGGAUGGUUGGUUG